UACGUAGGGUGCGAGCGUUGUCCGGAAUUAUUGGGCGUAAAGAGCUUGUAGGCGGUUUGUCGCGUCUGCUGUGAAAAUCCGGGGCUCAACCCCGGACUUGCAGUGGGUACGGGCAGACUGGAGUGUGGUAGGGGAGACUGGAAUUCCUGGUGUAGCGGUGGAAUGCGCAGAUAUCAGGAGGAACACCGGUGGCGAAGGCGGGAUCCUGGGCCAGUACUGACGCUGAGGAGCGAAAGCGUGGGGAGCAAACAGG
rnacentral:rRNA from 1 species